CACGUAGGGGCCAAGCGUUGUCCGGAUUUAUUGGGCGUAAAGAGCUCGUAGGCGGUUCGACAAGUCGGGUGUGAAAACUCCGGGCUCAACCCGGAGACGCCACCCGAUACUGUCGUGACUGGAGUCCGGUAGGGGAGUGGGGAAUUCCUGGUGUAGCGGUGAAAUGCGCAGAUAUCAGGAGGAACACCGGUGGCGAAGGCGCCACUCUGGGCCGGUACUGACGCUGAGGAGCGAAAGCGUGGGGAGCAAACAGG
rnacentral:rRNA from 1 species